AGUGAACGCUGGCGGUAGGCCUAACGCAUGCAAGUCGAACGGCAGCACAGUAAGAGCUUGCUCUUACGGGUGGCGAGUGGCGGACGGGUGAGGAAUACAUCGGAAUCUACUUUUUCGUGGGGGAUAACGUAGGGAAACUUACGCUAAUACCGCAUACGACCUACGGGUGAAAGCAGGGGAUCUUCGGACCUUGCGCGAUUGAAUGAGCCGAUGUCGGAUUAGCUAGUUGGCGGGGUAAAGGCCCACCAAGGCGACGAUCCGUAGCUGAUCUGAGAGGAUGAUCAGCCACACUGGAACUGAGACACGGUCCAGACUCCUACGGGAGGCAGCAGUGGGGAAUAUUGGACAAUGGGCGCAAGCCUGAUCCAGCCAUACCGCGUGGGUGAAGAAGGCCUUCGGGUUGUAAAGCCCUUUUGUUGGGAAAGAAAAGCAGCAGGUUAAUACCCCGCUGUUCUGACGGUACCCAAAGAAUAAGCACCGGCUAACUUCGUG
rnacentral:rRNA from 1 species